rnacentral:rRNA from 1 species
CCUACGGGAGGCAGCAGUGAGGAAUAUUGGUCAAUGGACGAGAGUCUGAACCAGCCAAGUAGCGUGAAGGAUGACUGCCCUAUGGGUUGUAAACUUCUUUUAUAUGGGAAUAAAACGUUCCACGUGUGGGAUUUUGUAUGUACCAUAUGAAUAAGGAUCGGCUAACUCCGUGCCAGCAGCCGCGGUAAUACGGAGGAUCCGAGCGUUAUCCGGAUUUAUUGGGUUUAAAGGGAGCGUAGGUGGAUUGUUAAGUCAGUUGUGAAAGUUUGCGGCUCAACCGUAAAAUUGCAGUUGAAACUGGCAGUCUUGAGUACAGUAGAGGUGGGCGGAAUUCGUGGUGUAGCGGUGAAAUGCUGAGAUAUCACGAAGAACUCCGAUUGCGAAGGCAGUUCACUGGACUGCAACUGACACUGAGGCUCGAAAGUGUGGGUAUCAAACAGGAUUAGAUACCCCAGUAGUC